GGGGAAUUUUGGACAAUGGGCGCAAGCCUGAUCCAGCCAUGCCGCGUGGGUGUAGAAGGCCUUCGGGUUGUAAAGCCCUUUUGUUGGGAAAGAAAAGCAGCCGGCCAAUACCCGGUUGUUCUGACGGUACCCAAAGAAUAAGCACCGGCUAACUCCGUGCCAGCAGCCGCGGUAAUACGAAGGGUGCAAGCGUUACUCGGAAUUACUGGGCGUAAAGCGUGCGUAGGUGGUGGUUUAAGUCCGUUGUGAAAGCCCUGGGCUCAACCUCGGAACUGCAUUUGAAACUGGAAGUCUGGAGAUCAGGAGAGGUUAGCGGAAUACCGAGUGUAGAGGUGAAAUUCGUCGAUAUUCGGUGGAACACCAGUGGCGACGGCGGCUAACUGGACUGAUACUGACGCUGAGGUGCGAAAGUGUGGUGAGCAAACA
rnacentral:rRNA from 1 species